rnacentral:tRNA from 2 species
GCGCGAUUAGCUCAGCGGGAGAGCACUUCCCUGACACGGAAGAGGUCACUGGUUCAAUCCCAGUAUCGCGCA